ensembl:snRNA U6 U6 spliceosomal RNA
AUGCUCACUUCAGCAGCACAUAUGCUAAAAUUGGAAUGAUACGGAAAAGCUUAGCAUGGCCCUUGUGCAAGAUGACUUGCAAAUUUGUGAAGCAUUCCAUAUUUUU